AGAAAAGACCCACAUAGUAAUCUAGUGCAACUGUAGGGACCCAGAGUCUCUCUGUGAACUGUUCUCCCUUGGGAAGCCCCCGUGACCUGAGAGGGUAGUAGUCCAUAGGAUCUCCCCACAGCCUGAUCAUGCCAAGAGGAUUUAAUUCUCUCUUUGCCAAAUGUGUGUCAUAAACUACAAAUAUGUAAGGGAGAUCUAGAACAUUGUUAUAAUUAGUGAUUGGGAAUAUACAACAAUUCUGUGAUUUUAUGAGAUAGAACAGAGAAAUCUGACAAGAUGGCUACAAUGUAUUAUAGACCUUACUCAUCGGAGCCCAUCAAGGAUGGGGACCUGCCUCCCUAUGAAGCCAUGGAGUCCAUCCUCCCAGACUAUCAGUACAUCUUUGUGGACCCAGACAACAAAUCUGGUCCCCGGCCCCAGCAGAGACCCCCGGCCGCCACCCAGAUGCCAAGCUCCUCCAUGAUGCCAGGGGGACCCUCCACCAGUAAACAGCCCAAUGACCUUGACCAGACUUCAAUGAAUGUCCUUGACCAUCAAAUGAAGGAGCUGGAGAACUACCGCUCCGCAGUCCAUAAAAUGGGUCAGGAUAUCCUGGCUCUCCGACAACAGAUCCGAGAGCUCGAGGCCAACAACAGUCAGCUCCGGCGAGAUCUGGCAAAUUAUAAUGACGCCAGUAAACUGAUGAUAGAGUCCUCGGAGCUGGAUAACCUCACUAAGCCAGAGGUCAUGUCCAGAUACGCAAUCUUGAAACAAACCCUAGUUGUAAACAGUAAUAGUCUAAAAAGCUACAAAGAUAGAGUUCAGACCCUACAGAAUGAACUCAUCAAAGUAAGCUCGCUCUAUAUGGGCCGCUUCUAGACACUCAUAGUGAGUUUUGGGUAAUAGGGUAUGUGCACUUUUUGCUUUUACAGCUGCACUCAAACAAACUCUGCAGACAAACUCAGGUGACAUGCAGAUUUACAAAGAUAAAGUGCAAAAACUGCAGAAUGAACUGAUCAAGAAAAAUGAUCAGGAGAAGAAGUACAUUAAGAUCGCCCAGAGCUACAAGCAGCAGACGGAGGUCAUCACUAAGCUUCAGGAGAAGUUAAAGAAGACGCGGACCGUGGAGGAGGCGCUGAAAAAGCAGGAGAAGGUGAUAGAGAAGAUGGAGAGGAUCCUGGAGAAGCAGCACCGCGACCGGAGCAAAAAGUCCAACGAUGCAGCUCAGGAGGCCAAUGAAGCUCUGCUGGAGGAGAACAAGAGACUGCGACAGCAGGCUGAUGACUUAAGGGACCAGUUGAGAUUCAAUAAUAAAGGAUCCUCAGACUCGGAGACAGACAAACUGGAGCUGUACCAAGCUCUGGAGAAGGCUGAGGCCAGGAUCCAGUCCCUAGAGAGACAGCUGGCAGAGAAUUCCAGAACAUGGGGUAAGGAAAGAGCCGACAUGAGUUUACGGUUGAAUGAAGCGGAGCAUGGGUUUGGUCGAUCAGGUGGGAUGGUUCUACACGACUACCCUGUUUAUAAUGACAAACUGGACAAGUUGGCCAGGAACAGCCCCCGCCGAUUAUCUCCCCUGUAUCGCUGACACGAACUCACGACUUUCCCUGGUGCUUUCAAAAUGGCUGCCUCCGACAGCCAGCCGUCCAAUACCACUGCUGCGUAACGUCAUCGUCAUCAUCACAAGAGGACCACCGUCAUCAAAUGAACAUUUCACUAUAUGGAGUACAGACAAGGAGACUGAUUCACAUGGACACAGGAUUAUAAUGAAGCUGUUUAUGUGUUACAUGUAGUUUUCCGAGUACUCACCCAUACAUACAUGAUUGUAUGUUAUAAACUUAGUGUCUCACCGUCUGUAUAUCAAUCAAGCGUAAUUUCAUCUUCCAUAAAAAGAACCUGUACAUUGUAAGGACUAGCGAGAAUUCAUUUUUUAUUGUGUUAUUAUGUACAUGGACGUAAAAUGCUCCUACUUUAUGUCAUCACGCCAGACAUGUGACAGUUCAUUGUCCGCUGAUGUUGUAUGUGUUUUUAAACCCUUUCAUUGUUACUUAUUAAUAUUUAUUUUAUUAUAUAUUGUUAGAUAUGUAAAUUUUGUUGGUAAUAAAUCUAUGCGUUAGUUGU
rnacentral:misc_RNA from 1 species